GAAUGAUUGUAGCAUGGUACUGUGCACGGAAACUGAAUCAUGGGUUUCAAAUGUCUGUGCCUGCUCUGAGUUCCUUAUUGGUUCUUUGAUUUGCGGGCCUGAUUUGAACCCACAUUU
rnacentral:snoRNA from 14 species